rnacentral:rRNA from 1 species
AACGUAGGAGACGAGCGUUAUCCGGAAUUACUGGGCGUAAAGCGCGAGUAGGCGGCUAUUUAAGUGGUCUGUGAAAGCGUCCGGCUCAACUGGACGAGGCCGGAUCAGACUGGAUGGCUAGAGGGUCAGAGAGGCAGGCGGAAUUCCGGGUGUAGUGGUGAAAUGCGUAGAGAUCCGGAGGAACACCAGUGGCGAAGGCGGCCUGCUGGCUGACAACUGACGCUGAGGCGCGAAAGCAUGGGGAGCGAAC